rnacentral:rRNA from 1 species
GAUGAACGCUGGCGGCGUGCUUAACACAUGCAAGUCGAACGUGAUCCAUUAGCAAUAGUGGUGAAAGUGGCGAACGGGUGAGUAACACGUAGGUAACCUGCCCUGAAGCGGGGGAUAACGGCUGGAAACGGUCGCUAAUACCGCUUGAGCCCAUUGAAUCGGGAGAGAGAUGGGGAAAAUCACGGUGCUUCAGGAGGGGCCUGCGUCCGAUUAGCUAGUUGGGGAGGUAACGGCUCACCAAGGCGACGAUCGGUAGCUGGUCUGAGAGGAUGAUCAGCCACACUGGAACUGGAACACGGUCCAGACUCCUACGGGUGGCAG